rnacentral:lncRNA from 1 species
CUGCUCCAAAAUGAUGGGUCAGCCCAAUGGUCUUGAAGCCCACUGGUCUCCUAAGUCCGGGAAUCUUCAAGCCCAAUAUCGGGAAUGUCGGGCGUCCUUGCCACGUGUCCAAAGGGAUCAAAGGUGUGGGUCCGCCGAAUAACCUACAAAACAAAUCAAGACACUAAGUGACUCGCCGGGGCGGCCCCGGCGAUUACACUCCGACGCUCA